rnacentral:rRNA from 1 species
UGCCAGCAGCCGCGGUAAAACGUAGGAGGCGAGCGUUAUCCGGAUUUACUGGGCAGUAAAGGGCGUGUAGGCGGCUUUGUAAGCGGAAUGUGAAAUCCCGGAGCUCAACUCCGGAACUGCAUUCCGAACUGCAAGGCUAGAGGACAGGAGGGGGGUGUGGAACUCUAGGUGGAGCGGUGAAAUGCGUAGAUAUCUAGAGGAACGCCGGUGGCGAAAGCGACACUCUGGCCUGGCCCUGACGCUGAGGCGCGAAAGCGUGAGUAGCAAACAGGAUUAGAUA